rnacentral:rRNA from 1 species
GUGGGGAAUAUUGGACAAUGGGGGCAACCCUGAUCCAGCAAUGCCGCGUGUGUGAAGAAGGCCUUCGGGUUGUAAAGCACUUUUAUCUGGAGCGAAACGCGCAGGGCGAAUAUCCUUGCGAACUGACGGUACCAGAGGAAUAAGCACCGGCUAACUUCGUGCCAGCAGCCGCGGUAAUACGAAGGGUGCAAGCGUUACUCGGAAUUACUGGGCGUAAAGGGUGCGUAGGUGGUUUGUUAAGUCUGCUGUGAAAGCCCCGGGCUCAACCUGGGAAUGGCAGUGGAGACUGGCAGGCUAGAGUGCGGUAGAGGGUAGUGGAAUUCCCGGUGUAGCGGUGAAAUGCGUAGAGAUCGGGAGGAACACCAGUGGCGAAGGCGGCUACCUGGACCAGCACUGACACUGAAGCACGAAAGCGUGGGGAGCAAACAGGAUUAGAUACCCUUGUAGUCC